GACGAACGCUGGCGGGGUGCUUAACACAUGCAAGUCGAACGGUAAGGCCCUUCGGGGUACACGAGUGGCGAACGGGUGAGUAACACGUGGGUGAUCUGCCCUGCACUUCGAGAUAAGCCUGGGAAACUGGGUCUCAUACCGGAUAGGACCACUGCCUGCAUGGGUGGUGGUGGACAGCUUUUGCGGUGUGGGAUGGGCCCGCGGCCUAGCAGCUUGUUGGUGGGGUGAUGGCCUACCAAGGCGACGACGGGUAGCCGGCCUGAGAGGGUGACCGGCCACACUGGGACUGAGAUACGGCCCAGACUCCUACGGGAGGCAGCAGUGGGGAAUAUUGCACAAUGGGCGCAAGCCUGAUGCAGCGACGCCGCGUGAGGGAUGACGGCCUUCGGGUUGUAAACCUCUUUCAGCACCGACGAAGCGCAAGUGACGGUAGGUGCAGAAGAAGGACCGGCCAACUACGUGCCAGCCGCCGCGGUAA
rnacentral:rRNA from 1 species